AUGGCUGGUGCUGACGAGGGGCCGGUGGAGUAUAGCCUUUCGGUGCGAUGGUGGUCUGGUUCACCGGUUUUCCACGGUAAUGCCGACUCGUCGUGCAGGGAGAAGGGUGGCUUGGUCUGUGGUCGAUUGUGGCUGGUUGGAGAGGGAUCCGGUCAUCUCUUACGAGGUGAGUUGGCGUCGUCCCCGGAUCUGAAGCAGGAGCGGCUCGGGGAGCAUCCUCAACAAGGGGAUCGCCUCCGACCGAUAUACUUUUGGGAUUUAGAUCCAGUUUCUUUUGAACUGGUAGCUGUUGCGGUUCGUCAACGCCAAUUUGGCAAGGGGUUACUCCUGCUCCAGGCUUGUGGCAGGACCGACGUCUUCUCCGGUGCCGGCUGUUCGUCGACGGCGGAGAAGUGGGCGCCGCUGAGGCAAAUAUACUAUGGGAAGAAAAAUUGCACGCACGUCGAUUCCUUCUUUCUGGACAAUCAGGCGUCAGACAAAGACAUUCUCUCACGUGACAUCCCAACUCCAUAG
rnacentral:rRNA from 1 species